UACGAAGGGGGCUAGCGUUGCUCGGAAUCACUGGGCGUAAAGGGUGCGUAGGCGGGUCUUUAAGUCAGGGGUGAAAUCCUGGAGCUCAACUCCAGAACUGCCUUUGAUACUGAAGAUCUUGAGUUCGGGAGAGGUGAGUGGAACUGCGAGUGUAGAGGUGAAAUCCGUAGAUAUUCGCAAGAACACCAGUGGCGAAGGCGGCUCACUGGCCCGAUACUGACGCUGAGGCACGAAAGCGUGGGGAGCAAACAGG
rnacentral:rRNA from 1 species